rnacentral:rRNA from 1 species
GAGAAUAAUUCGCAAUGGGCGAAAGCCUGACGAUGCGACGCCGCGUGGGGGAUGAAUGGCUUCGGCCCGUAAACCCCUGUCAUUUGCGAUCAACCGUUAUUGUUUAAGAGAUGAUAACCUGAUAGUAGCGAAAGAGGAAGGGACGGCUAACUCUGUGCCAGCAGCCGCGGUAAUACAGAGGUCCCAAGCGUUGUUCGGAUUCACUGGGCGUAAAGGGUGCGUAGGUGGCGAAGUAAGUCGGAUGUGAAAUCUCCGAGCUCAACUCGGAAACUGCAUUGGAAACUACUUUGCUUGAGGGUUGGAGGGGGGACUGGAAUACUUGGUGUAGCAGUGAAACGCGUAGAUAUCAAGUGGAACACCAGUGGCGAAGGCGAGUCCCUGGACAACUCCUGACACUGUGGCACGAAAGCUAGGGGAGCAAACA